GGCGUUUUGUGCAUAUCUAUUUCAGAGCUCUAUACACAAGUUUGAAACUUUCAAUUCUUGAUGAUUUGUGACAUUAUAUAAGGGUUAAAAACAAGAGCAUCAAAUCACUCACUGAAACUGUUGCUCCUCAGUUUCAAAACAACUCCAGAAAGGGAAAAAAAAACUUCAGAUCGAAAUGCUCACGUGGUGCCAACCUCUCUACGUCGCUCGGUCAAAAAGGGCAAGAGAAAAAAAAGAGAAAGAAACUCAGGCCAUGAUUGAGAGCCCCAUGAUAUGCGAACUCCGAAAUAUAUUUCCGAGAUCAUGGACCAUGAUGGAAUUCAAUUCGUCAAGAAAUGACGGUAACUGGGGUCCUUUUGACGACCUUUCUUUCUUGUUCAUACGCACCGCUGCCAUUGCAGUUGUCCCAGAUGAUCAUUCUUUCUUUCUUUCUGGAGAAAACAUUUCACAGAGAUGACGCCGGAACAUGGAGAGUUGGACCCCCUGGCGUCCGGAUGGAAGCGAUGCGAGGGAAAUGGUGUAGGCGUGGUCUCCACGCCCCUCCCCCCAUAUGAAUAAGGCGAUGAUGAAAUGAAUGCCUUGAAUGGAUUGCAAGGGCGAUGCUGCAAUCAUGCCAAUGUGCCAAUGGCAACCAACAAGCUGUCACCCUCAUGAAUGGGGGAUGCAAGUAUAUGUGCAUGCAAUUAUGUGUGGGAUCAAUGCAACUGAUCAUCCGAUUCCGUGCUGAUUAAUCAGAAGAAAACUCCCUCUUGUAUAAUUCUUGAUUGACCGUUGCCAAUUAGUUGUUUAU
rnacentral:lncRNA from 1 species